AGAGCGAACGCUGGCGGCAGGCCUAACACAUGCAAGUCGAGCGCCCGUAGCAAUACGGGAGCGGCAGACGGGAUAGUAACACGUGGGAACGCGCCCUUCGGUUCGGAAUAACUCAGGGAAACUUGAGCUAAUACCGAAUACGCCCUUACGGGGAAAGAUUUAUUGCCGAAGGAACGGCCCGCGUCCGAUUAGCUAGUUGGUGAGGUAAUGGCUCACCAAGGCUACGAUCGGUAGCUGGUCUGAGAGGAUGACCAGCAUCACUGGGACUGAGACACGGCCCAGACUCCUACGGGAGGCAGCAGUGGGGAAUUUUGCGCAAUGGGGGAAACCCUGACGCAGCAACGCCGCGUGGAGGAUGAAGUCCCUUGGGACGUAAACUCCUUUCGAUCGGGACGAUAAUGACGGUACCGGAAGAAGAAGCCCCGGCUAACUUCGUGCCAGCAGCCGC
rnacentral:rRNA from 1 species